UCCCUGGUGGCUCAGAUAGUUAAGAACCUGUCUGCAAUGCAGGAGACCCAGGUUCGAUCCCUGGGUGGGGAA
rnacentral:tRNA from 1 species